rnacentral:tRNA from 1 species
CCCUCAAAACCACAGUGCAAGACUGUAAAUCUUGAGGUCGCUGGUUCAAUCCCGGCUCGGGGGA